GGGUGGCUCAGUGGUUAAGAGCAGUGGCUCCUCUUCCAGAGGACCUGGGUUCAAUUCCCAGCACCCA
rnacentral:tRNA from 1 species